rnacentral:pre_miRNA from 1 species
AGUCUCCUGUAUCCGUGCUGGAUUUCGUCAAGGGCUGAUGAGACUUCCAAGAUAAGUGAAGCG